ACCUGGGUGGCUCAGUCGGUUAAGCGUCUGACUUUGGCUCAGGUCAUGAUCUCACAGCUUGUGAGUUUGAGCCCCACGUCAGGUU
rnacentral:tRNA from 1 species